rnacentral:rRNA from 1 species
CAGUAGCCGCGGGAAAACGAAGGGUGCAAGCGUUACUCGGAAUUACUGGGCGUAAAGCGUGCGUAGGUGGUGGUUUAAGUCCGUUGUGAAAGCCCUGGGCUCAACCUGGGAAUUGCAGUGGAUACUGGGUCACUAGAGUGUGGUAGAGGAUAGUGGAAUUUCCGGUGUAGCAGUGAAAUGCGUAGAGAUCGGAAGGAACAUCUGUGGCGAAGGCGACUAUCUGGGCCAACACUGACACUGAGGCACGAAAGCGUGGGGAGCAAACAGGAUUAGAUACCCCAGUAGUCCCUGUCUCUUAUAC